UGCAAGUCGAGGGGUAACAUAGAGUGCUUGCACUUUGAUGACGACCGGCGCACGGGUGAGUAACGCGUAUACAAUCUGCCUCAUACUAGGGGAUAGCCCAGAGAAAUUUGGAUUAAUACCCUAUAGUAUCAUUUAGAGUCAUCUCUUUAUGAUUAAAGGUUACGGUAUGAGAUGAGUAUGCGUUCUAUUAGUUAGUAGGUGAGGUAACGGCUCACCUAGACCACGAUAGAUAGGGGCCCUGAGAGGGGGAUCCCCCACACUGGUACUGAGACACGGACCAGACUCCUACGGGAGGCAGCAGUGAGGAAUAUUAGACAAUGGGCGAAAGCCUGAUCUAGCCAUGCCGCGUGCAGGAUGACGGCCCUAUGGGUUGUAAACUGCUUUUAUACAGGAAGAAAAAACUCUACGUGUAGAGUCUUGACGGUACUGUAAGAAUAAGGAUCGGCUAACUCCGUGCCAGCAGCCGCGGUAAUACGGAGGAUCCAAGCGUUAUCCGGAAUUAUUGGGUUUAAAGGGUCCGUAGGUGGACAAUUAAGUCAGAGGUGAAAUCCUGCAGCUCAACUGUAGAAUUGCCUUUGAAACUGGUUGUCUUGAGUCAUUAUGAAGUGGUUAGAAUGUGUAGUGUAGCGGUGAAAUGCAUAGAUAUUACACAGAAUACCAAUUGCGAAGGCAGAUCACUAAUAAUGUACUGACACUGAUGGACGAAAGCGUGGGUAGCGAACAGGAUUAGAUACCCUGGUAGUCCACGCCGUAAACGAUGGUCACUAGCUGUUCGGACUUCGGUCUGAGUGGCUAAGCGAAAGUGAUAAGUGACCCACCUGGGGAGUACGUUCGCAAGAAUGAAACUCAAAGGAAUUGACGGG
rnacentral:rRNA from 1 species